rnacentral:rRNA from 1 species
GUGGGGAAUAUUGGACAAUGGGCGAAAGCCUGAUCCAGCCAUGCCGCGUGUGUGAAGAAGGUCUUCGGAUUGUAAAGCACUUUAAGUUGGGAGGAAGGGCAGUAAGUUAAUACCUUGCUGUUUUGACGUUACCGACAGAAUAAGCACCGGCUAACUUCGUGCCAGCAGCCGCGGUAAUACGAAGGGUGCAAGCGUUAAUCGGAAUUACUGGGCGUAAAGCGCGCGUAGGUGGUUUUGUAAGUUGGAGGUGAAAUCCCCGGGCUCAACCUGGGAACUGCCUCCAAAACUGCAUGACUAGAGUACGGUAGAGGGUAGUGGAAUUUCCUGUGUAGCGGUGAAAUGCGUAGAUAUAGGAAGGAACACCAGUGGCGAAGGCGACUACCUGGACUGAUACUGACACUGAGGUGCGAAAGCGUGGGGAGCAAACAGGAUUAGAAACCCUGGUA